rnacentral:rRNA from 1 species
CAGCCCGCCGCGGUAAUUGCAGCUCCAGUGGNNCGUAUAUUAAAGUUGUUGCAGUUAAAAAGUUCGUAGUUGAAUUUCGGGAUUAGUGCGCCGGUCGUGCCUUCGGUAUGUACUGGUGUUACUGGUUCCUACCUUCUGACGAACCGUCAUGUCAUUAAUUUGGUGUGGCGGGGAAUCAGGACUGUUA